rnacentral:rRNA from 1 species
GACAGAGGUGCCAAGCGUUAGGCGGAAUCACUGGGCUUAAAGCGUGUGUAGGCGGAUCGUUAAGUACCUUGUGAAAUCCCACGGCUCAACCGUGGAACUGCUCGGUAUACUGGCGGUCUUGAGCCACCUAGGGGCAACUGGAACAAGCGGUGGAGCGGUGAAAUGCGUAGAUAUCAUUUGGAACGCCAAUGGUGAAAACAGGUAGCUGGGAGUGUGCUGACACUGAGACACGAAAGCCAGGGGAGCGAACGGG